UCUUGUCAAUCAAGGCAAGACUGAGGCAGAUCCUUACAUGAACUACCCAAGGCAUCGAAGUCAUUGACUGUAAAGUAAGCCUCUCCUUUCCAGCAGCAAUUAGCUUACAGCAUAUUGUUUCAUAACUCCAGCCCCAAAACAAAAGGAUUUUCUUGCAUAAGACCUUUUUUAUUUGAUUGUCCUGUACAAGCAAUGGCAAUGGAUGGGGGGAGGAUGAGCAGCUGUCACACAGGAAAUGGUGAUUGGAAGAACUGAAAGGAGGAGGCAAUUCUGUUGUCUGCAGUCUCACACUGACCUCAGGACAUUCUGCAUAGCUAAGAGAUGCUGUCUGUUCUACAACCAUCAUCCUAAUUCUUUCCUUCCACCUUUUCCCUCCCCAAAGUUACUCUCAUUUUAUGCAUUUUUAAUGCAGCAGCACAUGAGGUCCUUCUCGGGUCUCAGGCUUUAUCAGUCAUCCAAAGGAUCUGCCUAGAGUCUGCAGUAUGAGAGGCUGAGUCUUGCACAUGGAGAUCUUGGGAGGCAGCUGGGAAUGGACCAUUCUCAAGAUCACUGG